UACAGAGGUCUCAAGCGUUGUUCGGAUUCAUUGGGCGUAAAGGGUGUGUAGGUGGCGCCGUAAGUCGGGUGUGAAAUCUCGGGGCUUAACUCCGAAACUGCAUUCGAUACUGCGGUGCUUGAGGACUGGAGAGGAGACUGGAAUUCAUGGUGUAGCAGUGAAAUGCGUAGAGAUCAUGAGGAAGACCAGUGGCGAAGGCGGGUCUCUGGACAGUUCCUGACGCUGAGGCGCGAAGGCCAGGGGAGCAAACGGG
rnacentral:rRNA from 1 species